rnacentral:lncRNA from 1 species
AGCUGGUUACUUGACUUUCACUUGUAAAAUGAAAGCACCAUGAAUGAUGGGAAGAUGAAAGGCUGUAUCAGGGUCUGUGCCAGGCUGCUCCUCUGAUCAGAGACAAGAAACGAGGCUAUUUCUUGAGAGUUGUGGAGUGAUUGAAGAGUGGGGAUGGAGAAAGUGGGGAGGAAGCUACCACUUGGCAUUAAGAGCUCUGAAUAGAGAAAUAACAGUGUAACUGAAAGGGCCUGUGAUAUCUAUUGUACUACUGGAAACUGCCUCAUCCCCCACGGCCGCCUGCCUGCAGAGCGCUGCUGCCUGGAAAGCAGCACACGGCAAUGGGCCCUACAAAACCCUGCUGGGAGGUGCCAUUCCUGGGGAGAUACACCCACCCUGGCUGAAAUCCUGGUGUUUUCCUCCUGGCUGGGAGGGUGAAGGGCAGCUCUGCAAAUUCCCUCUCUGGGAAGGGGAGGUUUGGGUGGCNCCCCACAGCAGCACAGCCCUAGCACAGGGAUUUAAUGACUUUGACCUACAUGAGGUGGAGCUGAUGCCUUGGAGUGGCUGCCUAGAACAGAGGCUACGCAAGAUUAAAAGAGCAAGAGUAGGUAUUUAAUAAAGGCCUUCAAUAGGUACCUUGGGCAGUCAGAAACCUCUGAGGCUACACCCAAGAUGGACAAUGGUCACCAGUUUUUCAGGCAAUUGUAAAUUCAAUCCAUUUAUGUGAAAAAUGCAUGUAUUUUAUGACUGGCUUUUCGCAAAUAUGAAAAUGAAUAUUAUAUGUGUUGUGUUAGAAAGCAAUGCUGUAAUAAUUUUCUUAAGUACUGUGUUAAAUAUAGUUUUAGGUUAUAAAAAUUGUUAAAAUAGAAACUAUGCUAUAUAAGAUGCUUUGUUUAACAGAAAGGGCUUGCAGCGAGAUAGCAGCCACAGCACACCUAGAUCUUUCAGAGAAAAAGAAUUUAUUGCCUUCUUAUCGGAAGAAACGAACUUCUUCCCGCCUCGAAGAUGCUAUUAGGAUUAGAGGGAAGAAGUUGAUGAAGACCAGAGAGAAUCCUGUGUUUGAAUGGAAUUUAUGGGAAUUUAUGCAUCAUGUAUGAGAUGUAUGAAUAUGCAACAGGCUGUUGUUUUUAAGGGUUAAUCCCCUGAUAACAGGUGUCCUUUUUCAGGCUCAUGAUGCCCAGAAAAAGGUACUCGGACAUCCNCUUUGGCAAAGAAACACAUCUUGAUCUGGUCACAGAAAGCAGCCCUGCCUUCUGUCAGCAAUAAAACAGAGAGGACUCUUCCA